GUGGACGCCAGUCUGCGUGGAGCCGACCUUGAAAUACCACCCUUUAAUGUUUGAUGUUCUAACGUGGACCCGUAAUCCGGGUUGCGGACAGUGUCUGGUGGGUAGUUUGACUGGGGCGGUCUCCUCCUAAAGAGUAACGGAGGAGCACGAAGGUUGGCUAAUCCUGGUCGGACAUCAGGAGGUUAGUGCAAUGGCAUAAGCCAGCUUGACUGCGAGCGUGACGGCGCGAGCAGGUGCGAAAGCAGGUCAUAGUGAUCCGGUGGUUCUGAAUGGAAGGGCCAUCGCUCAACGGAUAAAAGGUACUCCGGGGAUAACAGGCUGAUACCGCCCAAGAGUUCAUAUCGACGGCGGUGUUUGGCACCUCGAUGUCGGCUCAUCACAUCCUGGGGCUGAAGUAGGUCCCAAGGGUAUGGCUGUUCGCCAUUUAAAGUGGUACGCGAGCUGGGUUUAGAACGUCGUGAGACAGUUCGGUCCCUAUCUGCCGUGGGCGCUGGAGAACUGAGGGGGGCUGCUCCUAGUACGAGAGGACCGGAGUGGACGCAUCACUGGUGUUCGGGUUGUCAUGCCAAUGGCACUGCCCGGUAGCUAAAUGCGGAAGAGAUAAGUGCUGAAAGCAUCUAAGCACGAAACUUGCCCCGA
rnacentral:rRNA from 23 species